UGUAGGAGUGAGCCUGCUCGCGAUAGCGUCGGGUCAGCCAACAUCAAUGUUGAAUGUCCGUUCGCUAUCGCGAGCAGGCUCACUCCUACA
rnacentral:misc_RNA from 1 species